AAAAUGACUCUCGGCAACGGAUAUCUCGGCUCUCGCAUCGAUGAAGAACGUAGCGAAAUGCGAUACUUGGUGUGAAUUGCAGAAUCCCGUGAACCAUCGAGUCUUUGAACGCAAGUUGCGCCCGAAGCCAUUUGGCCGAGGGCACGCCUGCCUGGGCGUCACGCA
rnacentral:rRNA from 1 species